rnacentral:tRNA from 1 species
UAAAAUUUAGUGUAUUAGGUAGCACGGAGAAUUUUGAGUUCUCAAGAUUAGGUUCAAGUCCUAUAGUUUUAG